GUGGAGCGAUUUGUCCGGUUAAUUCCAAUAACGAAUGAGACUCCGCCAUGCUAACUAGUUAUGCGGCCCCGUGCGGUCGUCUCCAACUUCUUAGAGGGACAAGUGGCUUUCAGCCACACGAGCUUGAGCAAUAACAGGUCUGUGAUGCCCUUAGAUGUCCGGGGCUGCACGCGUGCUAUGCUGAAUGGAUCAGCGUGUGUCUACCCUUGGCCGACAGGUCCGGGUAAUCCGCUGAACCCCAUUCGUGAUAGGGACCGGAGAUUGCAAUUAUUCCCCACGAAUGAGGAAUUCCCAGUAAGUGCGGGUCAUAAGCUCGCGUUAAUUAAGUACCUACGC